GAUCAUGGCUCAGGAUGAACGCUAGCUACAGGCUUAACACAUGCAAGUCGAGGGGAAACGACAUCGAAAGCUUGCUUUUGAUGGGCGUCGACCGGCGCACGGGUGAGUAACGCGUAUCCAACCUGCCCACCACUUGGGGAUAACCUUGCGAAAGUAAGACUAAUGCCCAAUGACAUCCCACGAAGGCAUCCGAAUGGGGUUAAAGAUUUAUCGGUGAUGGAUGGGGAUGCGUCUGAUUAG
rnacentral:rRNA from 1 species